rnacentral:rRNA from 1 species
GACGAACGCUGGCGGCGUGCUUAACACAUGCAAGUCGAACGGAAAGGCCCUGCUUUUGUGGGGUGCUCGAGUGGCGAACGGGUGAGUAACACGUGAGUAACCUGCCCUUGACUUUGGGAUAACUUCAGGAAACUGGGGCUAAUACCGGAUAGGAGCUCCUGCUGCAUGGUGGGGGUUGGAAAGUUUCGGCGGUUGGGGAUGGACUCGCGGCUUAUCAGCUUGUUGGUGGGGUAGUGGCUUACCAAGGCUUUGACGGGUAGCCGGCCUGAGAGGGUGACCGGCCACAUUGGGACUGAGAUACGGCCCAGACUCCUACGGGAGGCAGCGGUGGGGAAUAUUGCACAAUGGGCGGAAGCCUGAUGCAGCAACGCCGCGUGCGGGAUGACGGCCUUCGGGUUGUAAACCGCUUUAGCCUGUGACGAAGCGUGAGUGACGGUAAUGGGUAAAGAAGCACCGGCUAACUACGUG